GCAUAUCAAUAAGCGGAGGAAAAGAAACCAACAGGGAUUGCCCUAGUAACGGCGAGUGAAGCGGCAACAGCUCAAAUUUGAAAUCUGGCUUCGGCCCGAGUUGUAAUUUGCAGAGGAAGCUUUAGGCGCGGCACCUUCUGAGUCCCCUGGAACGGGGCGCCACAGAGGGUGAGAGCCCCGUAUAGUUGGAUGCCUAGCCUGUGUAAAGCUCCUUCGACGAGUCGAGUAGUUUGGGAAUGCUGCUCAAAAUGGGAGGUAAAUUUCUUCUAAAGCUAAAUACCGGCCAGAGACCGAUAGCGCACAAGUAGAGUGAUCGAAAGAUGAAAAGCACUUUGAAAAGAGGGUUAAAUAGCACGUGAAAUUGUUGAAAGGGAAGCGCUUGUGACCAGACUUGCGCCAGGCUGAUCAUCCGGUGUUCUCACCGGUGCACUCUGCCCGGCGCAGGCCAGCAUCGGUUCUCGCGGGGGGAUAAAGGCCCCGGGAACGUAGCUCCUCCGGGAGUGUUAUAGCCCGGGGCGUAAUGCCCUCGCGGGGACCGAGGACCGCGCAUCUUGCAAGGAUGCUGGCGUAAUGGUCACCAGCGACCCGUCUUGAAACACGGACCAAGGAGUCAAGGUUUUGCGCGAGUGUUUGGGUGUAAAACCCGCACGCGUAAUGAAAGUGAACGUAGGUGAGAGCUUCGGCGCAUCAUCGACCGAUCCUGAUGUAUUCGGAUGGAUUUGAGUAGGAGCGUUAAGCCUUGGACCCGAAAGAUGGUGAACUAUGCUUGGAUAGGGUGAAGCCAGAGGAAACUCUGGUGGAGGCUCGCAGCGGUUCUGACGUGCAAAUCGAUCGUCAAAUCUGAGCAUGGGGGCGAAAGACUAAUCGAACCAUCUAGUAGCUGGUUACCGCCGAA
rnacentral:rRNA from 1 species